ACAACGGAUCUCYUGGUUHUGGCAUCGAUGAAGAACGCAGCGAAAUGCGAUAAGUAAUGUGAAUWGCAGAAWUCAGUGAAUCAUCGAAUCUUUGAACGCACAUUGCGCCCGCCAGUAUUCUGGCGGGCAUGCCUGUCCGAGCGUCAUUU
rnacentral:rRNA from 1 species